GAAAUGCGAUAAGUAAUGUGAAUUGCAGAAUUCAGUGAAUCAUCGAAUCUUUGAACGCACAUUGCGCUCGCCAGUAUUCUGGCGAGCAUGCCUGUUCGAGCGUCAUUUCAACCAUCAAGCUCUGGUUGCGUUGGGGAUCCGCGGCUGCCCGCGGUCCCUCAAAAACAGUGGCGGGCUCGCUAGUCACACCGAGCGUAGUAACUCUACAUCGCUAUGGUCGUGCGGCGGGUUCUUGCCGUAAAACCCCCAAUUUCUAAGGUUGACCUCGGAUCAGGUAGGAAUACCCGCUGAACUUAAGC
rnacentral:misc_RNA from 1 species